rnacentral:rRNA from 1 species
CGUGCGGUCCUAUUUUGUUGGUUUCUAGGAUCGCCGUAAUGAUUAAUAGGGAUAGUUGGGGGCAUUCGUAUUCAAUUGUCAGAGGUGAAAUUCUUGGAUUUAUUGAAGACGAACUACUGCGAAAGCAUUUGCCAAGGAUGUUUUCAUUGAUCAAGAACGAAGGUUAGGGGAUCGAAAACGAUCAGAUACCGUUGUAGUCUUAACAGUAAACGAUGCCGACUAGGGAUCGGAUGAGGUUUUUAAUGACUCAUUCGGCACCUGAAGAGAAAUCUUUAAGUCAGGUUCGGGGGGGAGUAUGGUCGCAAGGCUGAAACUUAAAGGAAUUGACGGAAGGGCACCACCAGGUGUGGAGCCUGCGGCUUAAUUUGACUCAACACGGGGAAACUCACC